ensembl:misc_RNA 7SK 7SK RNA
GGAUGUGAGGGCAUUCUGGCUACAACAUCUGUCACCCAAUGAUUGCUAGAGUUGAACUGGCUGAUCUGGCUGGUCAGACUGAUAUCCCUUUCUCCCUCACAGCUCCAGGUGCAUCCUUCCCAAAGCUGCAUGCUCAGGUGAAGGGGACAAUCUUCUGCCAUAGAGGAGGACCAUUCUUUGGUCAAGCGUAGAUGAGUAACACUGGUCCCCUCCUAGAACCUUCAAACAAGCUCUUAAGGUCCAUUUGUAGGAGAAUGUAGGGUAGUCCAGCUUCCAAGACUCCAGACACAUCCAAAUGAGGCAUUGUAUGGGGCAGUCUGCCAUUCUUU